GAUUCCUAACCCCUAAAAAGAGAGAAAAUCGAAAACGAUUCCUAAAAAGGGAAAACUAAUUCCUAAAAAGCAAUAAGAAUUCCCACGCAGGGGAAAAUGCAACCGAGCAUGCCCUUAAUUAAACAAGGAAAGUGAACUACUUAGGACUAUGAAUCAUGUAUGCUUGAGUUCUUCACCCUCCUUGCUCAUGUGAUGCGAACCCUUCAAGUCAGAGAUUCUUCCUUCUAGAUAUGUCACGAGUCUCUUCAUGGUGGCAUCAAAUUCAGCUACCUCGGAAAAGUGAGACGAUUCAAAAGUUCUCUUGGCUCUCUUCUUCGAGUCGCAAAUUCUUAUUGAAGAUGGAGUACCUAUGUCAUCGCAGCCUUUUU
rnacentral:lncRNA from 1 species